AACGUUUUGAGAAAUGUUUGGAUUUGGAAAAGAAUUGUUUUACUGACCCACUCAAUUUUGGUUUUGCGCCCCUCCAGGUUCAGGAAUCACAAAGGUGUGGUGACUACGAGGAAUUCGACGGUGUUCUGACAGAAUGGACAAAAUUAGGACUCACCUUCGGGUGUAUCAACUUAUAAAUUGUAUCUUAAAGCUUCCGUACUGUGCAAAUGGUUACGUCACUCUCACGUGACGGCCAGCAUGCCCUCCUUCGGGACGGGGUGUGUCAUAGUGAAUAGUACACAGGAAAGGUAAAAAUAUGAUUUUUCGUUAAAAGUGAAUAGUACCGAAAGUGUUUCGUUAAAACUAUCUUAAAUUAAACUACUUUUUUCAUCCAAUUUUUCAAAAAUCCAAAAUUAGCCCUGGGCUGCAGCUUACUCAAGCCAGCUAUGACCUUGAUCCUAUGCUCUUUAAAUUGCAAUUUCUAGACUGCCCCAAAUAACAACCCCAAUGGUGUUUUGGUAAUUCAGCCAGUAUAAAUAGUCAAUUCUCGUUUAUUUCUUUCUUUUUUUGCUCUUUUUUUCUUCUCCUUUUUUUCUUGUGCCUCUUCCUUUGCAAGUCCUCGAGAUUUCAACUUCCUCUCCACAUCCAUGAAAGCUCAACUCUCUCGCUAAAAUGCUUCUGUCAUUCUCUCUCUCUCUCUCUCUCUCUCUCCCCAUUUUCUUUAAUUAAUAUAUAUUCUGUAUUUCUUUUUCUUUCUUUGAUAUUCUUGUUUUCUUUGAAAAAAUAGUUGACAAUCGAGGUUAAUGCAAAAGGCGCAUUUACCCAGGUUCAUUUUUCUCACGUGAGUUUUAACGUGAUCAACUUCUUCCAUGGCCAUGGAGGUUUUAGAUAGUUUAUGAGCAAAUAUUCUCUAUCUUCCAAUCAUUCUUUAGGAAAACUAAUGAAAAUAACUUGAAAUUUUUGAGUUUUAAUGAUAAGAACAAAAUAAAUGAUAAAGUGAAUAGUAUCAAGAUUGACUUUUUAGUGUAAAAAUAUGUUUUUUCGUUAAAAUGAACAGUACCGGAAGCUUUUCGUUAAAAUUCCCACAGUCUUUUGCAUGCUUUACUCUUGAGCCUCUUUCUGUUCUUAUUUUGACAGUUUGUUUUUACUGUUUAAUAUAUAUUACUCAAUCUUGAUGUUCUUAUUUAUAUUUCUUUUAAUUAUUACUUAGUAGUUAUUUAGUUGAUUUACUUGGGUUUCUUUAAUUUUGCUCAUUUUUCUUUAAUGCUUGAUACUAAAAGUAUGAUUCAUUUGUGAUGAACAAUGCAUAUAAUUAUUAGAUUUAGAGAGCUUAUCGGCACCAAAAUUGACAAUGUUCUGGUUUUUCGGGUUACUACUCUUUUUCGUGUUUGGUUGUUGGUUGAUUAGUCCAUUUGAUAUGAUCAACAACAAACAACAACAACAACAACAAAGCUUUUUCCCACUAAGUGGGGUCGGCUA
rnacentral:lncRNA from 1 species